GGGUUGUGAGGUUAAGCGACUAAGCGUACACGGUGGAUGCCCUGGCAGUCAGAGGCGAUGAAGGACGUGCUAAUCUGCGAUAAGCGUCGGUGAGGUGAUAUGAACCGUUAUAACCGGCGAUUUCCGAAUGGGGAAACCCAGUGUGUUUCGACACACUAUCAUUAACUGAAUCCAUAGGUUAAUGAGGCGAACCGGGGGAACUGAAACAUCUAAGUACCCCGAGGAAAAGAAAUCAACCGAGAUUCCCCCAGUAGCGGCGAGCGAACGGGGAGGAGCCCAGAGCCUGAAUCAGUGUGUGUGUUAGUGGAAGCGUCUGGAAAGGCGCGCGAUACAGGGUGACAGCCCCGUACACAAAAAUGCACAUAUUGUGAGCUCGAUGAGUAGGGCGGGACACGUGGUAUCCUGUCUGAAUAUGGGGGGACCAUCCUCCAAGGCUAAAUACUCCUGACUGACCGAUAGUGAACCAGUACCGUGAGGGAAAGGCGAAAAGAACCCCGGCGAGGGGAGUGAAAAAGAACCUGAAACCGUGUACGUACAAGCAGUGGGAGCCUCUUAAUGGGGUGACUGCGUACCUUUUGUAUAAUGGGUCAGCGACUUAUAUUCUGUAGCAAGGUUAACCGAAUAGGGGAGCCGAAGGGAAACCGAGUCUUAACUGGGCGUUAAGUUGCAGGGUAUAGACCCGAAACCCGGUGAUCUAGCCAUGGGCAGGUUGAAGGUUGGGUAACACUAACUGGAGGACCGAACCGACUAAUGUUGAAAAAUUAGCGGAUGACUUGUGGCUGGGGGUGAAAGGCCAAUCAAACCGGGAGAUAGCUGGUUCUCCCCGAAAGCUAUUUAGGUAGCGCCUCGUGAAUUCAUCUCCGGGGGUAGAGCACUGUUUCGGCAAGGGGGUCAUCCCGACUUACCAACCCGAUGCAAACUGCGAAUACCGGAGAAUGUUAUCACGGGAGACACACGGCGGGUGCUAACGUCCGUCGUGAAGAGGGAAACAACCCAGACCGCCAGCUAAGGUCCCAAAGUCAUGGUUAAGUGGGAAACGAUGUGGGAAGGCCCAGACAGCCAGGAUGUUGGCUUAGAAGCAGCCAUCAUUUAAAGAAAGCGUAAUAGCUCACUGGUCGAGUCGGCCUGCGCGGAAGAUGUAACGGGGCUAAACCAUGCACCGAAGCUGCGGCAGCGACGCUUAUGCGUUGUUGGGUAGGGGAGCGUUCUGUAAGCCUGUGAAGGUGUGCUGUGAGGCAUGCUGGAGGUAUCAGAAGUGCGAAUGCUGACAUAAGUAACGAUAAAGCGGGUGAAAAGC
rnacentral:rRNA from 1 species